rnacentral:rRNA from 1 species
AUUGAACGCUGGCGGCGUGUUUAAGACAUGCAAGUCGCACGGGAUAAGACAUGUAGUAAUACUUGUUUUAUUUAGUGGCGCACGGGUGAGUAACACGUGAAUUACAUGCCCUAUAGUGGGGAAUAGCCCAGGGAAACUUGGAUUAAUACCCCAUGGUAUCGAAAGAUUAAAGGUGGCCGCAAGGCUGUCGCUAUAGGAUUGGUUCGCGCCCUAUCAGCUUGUUGGUGAGGUAACGGCUCACCAAGGCAAUGACGGGUACCUGGUCUGAGAGGACGAUCAGGCACACUGGAACUGAGACACAGGCCAGACACCUACGGGUGGCAGCAGUCGAGAAUAAUUCACAAUGGGGGCAACCCUGAUGGUGCAACGCCGCGUGGAGGAUGACGGUCUUCGGAUUGUAAACUCCUGUCAUCUGGGAGAAAGACCUGACGGUAAAUAGCCGGCAGGGUUGAUAGUACCAGAAGAGGAAGGGACGGCUAACUUCGUGCCAGCCGCCGCCGUAA